rnacentral:rRNA from 1 species
CAGAGGGUGCUUUGGUGGUAGUUGCGGUCUAAGUUCUUUGGAACAGGACGUCACAGAGGGUGAGAAUCCCGUAUGUGGUCGCUACUUAUCACCGUGUAAAGCCCCUUCGAC